CCUGCCUCAGCCUCCGGAGUAGCUGGGAUUAUAGGCACCUGUCACCAUGCCUGGUUAUCCACUUAGGUUUUUGAAGGGCCCCUCGGGCUUGGGGUGGAGAGUGAAGGGAAGCAGGGGGAGGUUUAGGUCUUGCAAUCGUCCACGUGAGACAUGACACUGCCUGUGACCGGUGGCAGGGGUGGAGGUUGGGAGAAGUGGCCUGAGAGCAGAUCUAUUUUGUGGGUGAGGCUGACGGUAUUUGCUGGACUGCCGUGGAACCAGAGGGAAGUACAGAGUCAGGCUGACUAGAAGGUGUUUGGCUUAAGUUCAUAGAAGAAAGGAGUUGCCAUUUGCUGGCAUGAGGAAAAUGGAGCAGCAGAUUUUGGGAGGAAAAUGAAGGGUUUGGCUUCUGACUCGCUGAACUGGAUGUGCUGUUUAAGUGGAUAUGGAUUUCACAGUUGUACUGAUGAAGCUGGAAUUGGUUCAAGUAUAAAAGGAGGGUCAUCUAAAUAUAGAUAUUGAAGGUAAUCCUCAGUGAGAUGAGGUUACUGAAGAGGGUGUGGGGAGGCAGGAGCGGGGUGAGGCUGGGAGGGGCAGCUGGUGGGAGGGGAGAGAAGCCCAGCGAUGUCCUUGGUGUCUCUGUGAAGACGGCACUUCUGGCGGAGGGACAGACACCCCCCCCCCCGCCUGAGACAGGCUGAGGAACAACCCUACAGCAACUCAGGGCACUGGUGACUUUGUCAGAGCACCCCAAAUCGAACAAACACCCACUAAAGAGGGAGUGCCUCUAAGAAGCCGAAAGGGGGCGCCACCCAGGCUCCAGAGGGGAAAUGUUUGCGCUCAUUUUCUAACAUGUCAACAACCCUGGACCACGCAGGGUCCGGGGUGUCAGAAAAAUACUGGCUCUGUCAUCAGCUUUGAAACAACUUUAUUAGAAGGCUGCUUUAAAUGACAACUUCCAACUUCCAUUUCUUUCUUAAUUUGCUUUUUGACAAUUCCAGUUAUAACUAUAUAUGUUCAUAUAUAACAAUAAUUUUUGCAUUGAUCUUUGCAUCCUACUGAAGAUUGAAGAUUUCCUCAUCAGGUCAUUCUGGUGGAAUGGAAGUGCAACCGUGACGUCGCCAGUUGGCCAGCAUUGUUGAGCAAGGGCGGCAGAAGGCUGGGAGGGAGGGAGCCAGCCCCCCACCCUCUCCUCCAGCCCCCGCCCACCACAGAUUCACAGUGAGAGGCACCUCACUGCCUUGACAUUCAGAAAGUGUGAAAUGAAGAAACCCUCGCAGUGCAGGAAAUAACUGGAUUCCACCUUCAAGGUUAUUGAGGUUCCUCCCUCUCUCUCCAGGCCCCUAGUCAAACCCUGAAAUCCUAAGGCUUAGGGAAAGCCCUUCCCCAACCUGCCAAAGGAAAGGACCCAGGGCUGCUGCCUUCUGGCCGCUUUUCUGCCUUCAGUCCCAUAAGGAAUUUCUCUGGACAGACGUGAUUGCGGCGGCCCAAGGUCCCCCUUCUUCUUCUCUUCCCACCCCACUGGGUGGGCUUGGAAAGGUACAAUCAACCAUGAACAUAAAUAUGAAUAAAAAAUGAACUUGAAAAUGA